rnacentral:piRNA from 1 species
UAACAAUGCUGGAUUGGUAUUUUAAGGAA